rnacentral:rRNA from 1 species
ACGCUCGACACCUACGGAGGCAGCAGUGGGGAAUAUUGCACAAUGGGGGAAACCCUGAUGCAGCGACGCCGCGUGAGCGAAGAAGUAUUUCGGUAUGUAAAGCUCUAUCAGCAGGGAAGAAAAUGACGGUACCUGACUAAGAAGCCCCGGCUAACUACGUGCCUGCAGCCGCGGUAAUCUGAGCGGGCUGGCAAGGC